rnacentral:rRNA from 1 species
AACGUAGGAGCCUAGCGUUAUCCGAAUUUACUGGGCGUAAAGCGCGUGCAGGCGGCCUGGCAAGUGGAUUGUGAAAUCUCCCGGCUCAACUGGGAGGGGACGGUCCAAACUGCCAGGCUGGAGGCAGGUAGAGGGAGGUGGAAUUCCCGGUGUAGUGGUGAAAUGCGUAGAGAUCGGGAGGAACACCAGUGGCGAAGGCGGCCUCCUGGACCUGACCUGACGCUCAGACGCGAAAGCUAGGGGAGCGAACGGGAUUAGAAACCCCAGUAGUCC